GGCAGUCAACCCGUAGAUCCGAACUUGUGUUGUGUAUUUGAUAACACAAUUCGAAUCUCGGGUAUAUUGCUA
rnacentral:pre_miRNA from 12 species